GACGAACGCUGGCGGCGUGCUUAACACAUGCAAGUCGAACGGAAAGGCCCCUUUGGGGGUCCUCGAGUGGCGAACGGGUGAGUAACACGUGAGUAACCUGCCCUUGACUUCGGGAUAACUUCAGGAAACUGGGGCUAAUACCGGAUAGGAAUCCUUGCUGCAUGGUGGGGGUUGGAAAGCUUCGGCGGUUUUGGAUGGACUCGCGGCUUAUCAGCUUGUUGGUGGGGUAGUGGCUUACCAAGGCUUUGACGGGUAGCCGGCCUGAGAGGGCGACCGGCCACAUUGGGACUGAGAUACGGCCCAGACUCCUACGGGAGGCAGCAGUGGGGAAUAUUGCACAAUGGGCAGAAGCCUGAUGCAGCAACGCCGCGUGCGGGAUGACGGCCUUCGGGUUGUAAACCGCUUUCAGCAGGGGCGAAGCUUGUGGUGACGGUACCUGCAGAAGAAGCACCGGCUAACUACGUG
rnacentral:rRNA from 1 species